UCGAGCACGAACAAUCAGCUGAAUAGACUGAACAAUAUGAAAUGAAAUGCCUUGCUCAAAAGCAAAAUACGCCGCCCGGAGCAAGACUCGGACCUACUACCUUAUGAUCGUGAACCCAACAUCCCAAAGACUAGACCACGCACCUUCACAAACAUAUGCACUCACUCGCGAUAGAAUUGAAUCCAAAGAGAACACAGUGAGGAUAUUUGUUAAAACAGCAUUCAAUGGAAAGUGGUACUGAGUCAAAAAAUGUUGAGAACAACUGGCCUAUAACAAGAUGAUUGAUGUUACAAAGAAAGACAUUUUUAGCUAUAACAUUCUACACUAAAAACAAAAAAAAAAACACUCUAAAUAAAAUGUAAAAAUGAGCUUCAUAUACUAUAAACCUAUGAUAAAAAGAAAAAAUUACAUAAGAUUUAUACACAGAACUAAUAGGGAUAGGACUAGUCAAUUACAUUAGCCCCCAUUCUCAACUGGUACUUAUUUUAUCAACCACAAAAAGGAUGAAAGACAAAGUCAACCUCAGAACAUGUAGACAGAAUAGAUACUACUAAACAUUUUGUCUGGCACAAUAAUGAUUCUGCCAGCUUGCCGCCUCAUAAGCAGAAUUAAUAACAGUCAUAAAAUUGUGAAUAAGUGAAGCUAAUCAAAAAUUAAAUAAAAGCAUGAAUGAGCAAACUUAA